rnacentral:ncRNA from 2 species
ACAUUAAAAACUAAUUGAGGUGUUAACACACUUAAUCGGGAAUAUGGUGAAAAUCCAUAGCUGUACCUGCAACUGUAAACAGAGCGAAACAUUAUCACCACUGGUAAUACCGGGAAGGAAUGUUUUUAGAUGCUGUAAGCCAGGAGACCGACCUUAAUUUCACUUUAUAC